GAGAAAUUCGAUAAUGCUGCUGCCCAGGGGGAGUCGGUGAUGGCGAGGAGGUCCUCGGCGGUGGGGGUCAGCGAGAGGGAGAGCAGGAGCGGGGCGCGGAGGUGGAAGACGCGCGGGAUGAGGCGAAGGAAGUGGAGCGGGCCAUGACGGUGGAGGCGGCACGCGAGUGGCUCGGGGAGGCCUGCAGCGCGUCGACCAGCGGCGACGCCGCGACAGGCGGGAGGUGCGCCGCCGCGAGGCGCUCGAAGGCGUGGUCCAAGUGCGUAGGCGAAGCCCCUCCCCCCUCUCGUUCGGACUCUCCCUCCCUUCCGCCUCCCCGAUCCCCAUCACCAUCCCCGCAGCUGCAGAGCCCCGCGCCGAGGUCAAAAAGCCACGCCGCGGCUCGACCGUGGGCGUUCCGGCAUUGGUGGUGGCGCGGAGAUGGCGGCGGAGCGGGACAUCGACGACCUGCCGUGGAAUGACGCCAACUACACGGCGCUCAUGCCGCUCUAGUUCCUCGAGCGUGGCGCGCUGACCCACCCGGCCAGGGCCUCCGUAAUGCACGGGCCCGUGCCCUACACCUACAGCCGCUGCCGCCGCCUCGCCUCCGCCCUCGCACGCCGGUCCGUCGGACACGGAAGCACGUGCAGGACAAUUGAUAUACAAGUCUGUUCUUAUUAGACAAGUGUGUUCUGAUUAUUAGCACCGACAACCACAAGCAAGCUCUCACGUGUAUGCUCAAUGUUCCUUCAAAGAAAUCAAUUGAAAAGGAACUGAGGAACGCUAAAAUUAUUUCCCAGAAAAACUGGAGCAGAAUUCCUAUCUCUCUUGUCCGUUAUAUUGUUUGGGUAACAAGUUGUAGCAGUAGAUGCAGUUAGUAUCACCAAGUACAUUAUAAGAUACAAACAAUAGGAGAUGCAGUUGCUUUUCUUGAUUUCAUUUUUUACAAAGCAUAGAUCAAAGAGUUAUUGGCCAAAGAAAUGGAAUACACUAAAAUAAAGGGUUUCUUCAUCAGCAAUAGCAGCAGCAAGCUAUGCCUAAUCUCAGAAUCUUGCAAUAAGUGAGAACUUCUAUGUUAGAGGUGAUGGUACGAUGAGUGGAUCGCCUAUAUGAACAUUAUGCAAGGAAAUUCAGUCACAACAAUACAUUUAAUCCAGCAUGGAUACUAAUUUACAAAUGAUUACCUGAAUCGUUGCAAUGUGUUCUGCACAGUGUGCAUAUUACUUUUCAAAUGAAUAUCUAAUCGACUUAUUCCCAAAAUGUGGAUAUGGGUUUCUCCUCUUCUCACUGGGAAGAAUAGUAUUAUGCUGUUCAGUUUUGCCACUGUGGAUGUAGCCCUCUCCUACACUUCAACAGCUUCAGUACUUUUAGUUGGAUAUGGGUUUAUCCUUAUGGUGGUGCUUCUCUUUACUGGCUUGCAUGCUUUCCAGCAAUACUCAAGGGGCGAGCGCCUUACAAUCACAAUUUAUUUUGAUGUAUUAACCAAAUGGGUCUGCUGGAUGUUUAGCCGUCUUAGAAUGCUGCCUAGCAUACAUGGGGUGCUCCAUAGGACAUGCAGUUUUUUGCAGCACUUCUUCUGAGGGAUCAUAGGUGUAGCCAAUGUUUCUCUUAACCUUGCAGCGAUACUUGUGAUAUGACCAUUGAUCUUUAGCUGGUUGCUUGAUAUCUGCACUUCAGAAUUGUUUGGUGCGAAAAUACCUCAGACGCUCCAACUUCUAUUUGCUUCAUCAUUUGCUUCUAAUGCCCUUCACUGGCUUAUUGGAUGCAUCUGUUUGAAGCUUCACUACUCACAUUCCAGUCUUCUUCGCCCGGUGUUCAUACUAUAGUUUUGGUUCAGCAUGUCAGUAUGUAUGUUUUUUUGUUGUUUCAGAAUUUAAACAGUGGUAUGCAUGUGUUUUGCUUGUCAACAGGUAUUGAGGCUAGGAGUUAGUGCCCCUUUCCUCGACACUACUGGAGGCCAAAUCAAGAUAGGGGAACCAUUCUGCAACUUUUAUUUCAAGAUUCUGCUGGGUCUUUUUCUCAGUGUUAUCUAUGUUGCAAUGGUCAUUCUUGUCCCUGUUGAAAUUGCUUUUCAUUUGGCACCUACUGUGUUCCCGUUAGACAUCACCUACUUUGAUCCUCCAAUUCAGGGCAGACUAUCACCUACUACGAGAAGAGCAACAUGGUGAUGGUGUCUGGGCCCUUCGAUGGCGACGAGGUCGCGGACCUGCUCACCUCCAACGCCAGCAAGAUCAUCACCGACAUACACGUCGUUGGGUCCGGGCCGAGGCGGAGGGAAGCAGAAGCACGCCACCGCCGCCAACGCUUGCAGACUAGCAUUCGUCCACCCAGAUGGUAGGGCGCGCAUCGUGCGACUAAUGUUCUGGUUUACUAAAAUUCUAGUGAGCUUUGACUUCACUGCUAGAAAGUUUGUUGGGUGGCAUUCAAUGCUCCGGCUCCAACUCCAUAUCCUAAAACCCAAAACCAUUUUGAUAGAUUUG